rnacentral:rRNA from 2 species
CAGCAGUAGGGAAUCUUCCGCAAUGGACGAAAGUCUGACGGAGCAACGCCGCGUGAGUGAUGAAGGCUUUCGGGUCGUAAAACUCUGUUGUUAGGGAAGAACAAGUACGAGAGUAACUGCUYGUACCUUGACGGUACCUAACCAGAAAGCCACGGCUAACUACGUGCCAGCAGCCGCGGUAAUACGUAGGUGGCRAGCGUUAUCCGGAAUUAUUGGGCGUAAAGCGCGCGCAGGCGGUUUCUUAAGUCUGAUGUGAAAGCCCACGGCUCAACCGUGGAGGGUCAUUGGAAACUGGGGAACUUGAGUGCAGAAGAGAAAAGCGGAAUUCCACGUGUAGCGGUGAAAUGCGUAGAGAUGUGGAGGAACACCAGUGGCGAAGGCGGCUUUUUGGUCUGUAACUGACGCUGAGGCGCGAAAGCGUGGGGAGCAAACAGGAUUAGAUACCCUGGUAGUCCACGCCGUAAACGAUGAGUGCUAAGUGUUAGAGGGUUUCCGCCCUU